rnacentral:rRNA from 1 species
ACGGGAGGCAGCAGUGGGGAAUAUUGGACAAUGGGGGAAACCCUGAUCCAGCGACGCCGCGUGAGUGAAGAAGUAUUUCGGUAUGUAAAGCUCUAUCAGUAGGGAAGAAAAUGACGGUACCUAACUAAGAAGCUCCGGCUAAAUACGUGCCAGCAGCCGCGGUAAUACGUAUGGAGCAAGCGUUAUCCGGAUUUACUGGGUGUAAAGGGAGCGUAGACGGCAAAGCAAGUCUGAUGUGAAAUAUUGGGGCUCAACCCCGAAACUGCAUUGGAAACUGUUUAGCUAGAGUGCAGGAGAGGUAAGUGGAAUUCCUAGUGUAGCGGUGAAAUGCGUAGAUAUUAGGAGGAACACCAGUGGCGAAGGCGGCUUUCUGGACUGUAACUGACACUGAGGCACGAAAGCGUGGGGAGCAAACAGGAUUAGAUACCCUGGUA